rnacentral:lncRNA from 1 species
AGGGGUGAGUUUAAUUAUGGGGUUUCAUACUUUGACAAGUUGUUGUUUCCCUUGUGCAGUUGGAGCUUGUGUGUUAUCAAUGCACUACUUUCUCCUUCAUUUGAGUCUUCCACUUAGCCCUGCAAAUGCAAUGAAACUCGGGAUCAUUCACCAUUUCCAUCUUAUAUGAAACACAAUAAAGAAUAAAUACAACAUCAACGUUUUAGUUUAUCAUACCUUCUGAUCAGAUACAUGGUUUCUGCCUUUCUGCACUGAUCCUUUAUUCUUCUACCUGAAUGUUCACCCUAGACGCUACACCCUGGCAACUAGUACAUAAAUUACCCUUAACCCCAAUACCUGCCCAGUAAGUUACAAAAGCAGGUCAGCAGUUAGAAGACCAACAAAGUAAGGAGGAAGCACACAGUAGCGAAGAGUAAAAGACCUACAAACUACAACGGAAAAAAUACCAUCAGAAGAAUAGGAAGAAUGACAAGUGGCAGAGGUGAAUUACCAGGGACGAGUUUGAUUUUGGGACUUCCAUAGCUUUGACAAGAUGAUGUUUCCCCUAUGCAGUUGUAGCUUGUGUGUUAUCAAUGCAGGCACCACUAUCAUCUGCAACAUGUCCACAAGUAUUGAAGAGAAGGAUGGGGGAAACAGGAAAGAUAUCAUUGAAAUUCUUGUGAAGCUACUCGCUGAUCAUGGUUCCUUGUUCAUGGAUGAAAGAUCUUUAAGAAUAUCGUUUACCUGACCGAUUUGUUGUGAAAUCUCUUGUUUGAAAAUCUUUCCCAAGUUUGGCGCCUGCAAGAUCCUUAGAAAUUUUUGCAAAUCUUUCGCAAGUUUAGUGUCUCCAUGAUCCUUAUUUUACUGCAUUUAGAACAACGAACAUGAACCAUGGAUACGCAGAUGAAGCAUCCAAACAAUUGUUGAUACCUUGAACUACGAAACUACUUGUUUAUGCUGGCAGAAUUCUCAAGGCCUGAGUUGCAAGAGCAACAAGAACACAUAUACAUGUAAUUAAAUAGCGAGUAAACAAUCUACAUUUAUUGUCCAGAUCAAAGAGCAAAGAUGAAAACAUCAUAUUAGAGAUGGAAUACGAACCUGCACAUUUUUUGUACAUGCUGUCCUUUUCAACCAGUUGUCCAAAAUGUUUUGACCAUAGACUGUAGACAGCACAAAUUACUCCACACCAUUAAGAUCUGCAUGCAAGCACCUCUCGGAUGUGAAUGGAAAUUCAAGAAUACGUCACCUGUAUAAGCAAAGAAGUUAACUUUCAAAUGAAUCUAACUUGCCACUAAUUAGGACUUUCAAGAAACUAUGCUCACACUGGGUAAAAGAAGGAACAUUCAUGAGAUUUUCAGCAUUCAUCGGACAAAGAAUACGUAAGCAAAUAUGUAGUUUGUAAGCUUACACUUAUAAUAGGAAUUUGCCAAACUGUGCUUGCAGACCCGUACUGAAUACUCAGAUUUUAACCACACCAGAGGGCAGCACCAUGUUUGCUACUUUGUCCUUUAUUUGAGACUUCUACUUAGCCCUGCAAAUACAAUCAAAGUCGGGAUCAUCCACCAUUUCCAUCUUAUAUGAAGCACAAUAAAGGAUAAAUACAGUAUUAACAUUCUAGUUUAUCAUACCUUCUGAUCAAAUUCAUGAUUUCUGCCUUUCUGCACUGAUCCUUUAAACCAAUGUCCCGCAAAGAAGUACAAGUGAAAUUCACACAUAUCGUGCUAAUGAAAAUAAACCUUGUCAAUGGAGAAUAUCAUUUCGCUUCCAUUAUCUUACCUUCGUGACACAAGCGGAAGUAGUAAACAAUAAGGGAAUUCUGGUCUGAGUAUUUUUCCCAGACUUGCAUGGAGGGGUGUUCACUCAUUCUCACCUUCUUUGUGCUUGUGUUAGAGUGCACAAACUCAUCACUUCACUUAGGUGAUGAACACCCUAACACUUCUUUUACGCAUCACCCCCUCUUUUUUUCCCUCAAUGAAGGCAUGGUUAUGACCAAACCCACACGGGGCAAACUCGGUAAAAAAAACCUGAAAACAGGUGGAAACCGGGUCGCCGCCGCGUGUGUAAGCCAUAAUCACCUCAUUCUCACCUUCUUUGUGCUUGUGUUAGAGUGCACAAACUCAUCACUUCUCUUAGGUGAUGAACACCUAACACUUCUUUUACGCACCACCCCCUCUCUUUUUUCCUCAAUGAAGGCAUGGUUAUGACCAAACCCACACGGGGCAAACUCGGUAAAAAAAACCUGAAAACAGGUGGAAACCGGGUCGCCGCCGCGUGUGUAAGCCAUAAUCACCUCAUUCUCACCUUCUUUGUGCUUGUGUUAGAGUGCACAAACUCAUCACUUCACUUAGGUGAUGAACACCCUAACACUUCUUUUACGCACCACCCCCUCUCUUUUUUCCUCAAUGAAGGCAUGGUUAUGACCAAACCCACACGGGGCAAACUCGGUAAAAAAAACCUGAAAACAGGUGGAAACCGGGUCGCCGCCGCGUGUGUAAGCCAUAAUCACCUCAUUCUCACCUUCUUUGUGCUUGUGUUAGAGUGCACAAACUCAUCACUUCACUUAGGUGAUGAACACCCUAACACUUCUUUUACGCACCACCCCCUCUCUUUUUUCCUCAAUGAAGGCAUGGUUAUGACCAAACCCACACGGGGCAAACUCGGUAAAAAAAACCUGAAAACAGGUGGAAACCGGGUCGCCGCCGCGUGUGUAAGCCAUAAUCACCUAAACCUUCAAGACUUUUUUGGUGGCACAUGCGUUAGAAUUCCCCAUCUACUAGAACUUCAUAGUGCAUCAAAGGAGUUUAAACGGAAAAAUAAAAUGAUACUACUACUCACACUGACAAGAUCCAAAUCCAUUAGAACGAUAUAUGAGAAUCUCAAAGUACACUUAAGGAAAUAUAAAUGGAGAUUGUCAUGCUAGCAAACAACACAAAACAUCACAGUCUCCAUGAUAACUCAAAGCCGUUUGAACCAGUUUAUGGCAUGAUAACAACACGAUGCAAACAAUAAGAACAAAGAUAACCAAGAAUAAGCAAGAAAGCAGGCCAAAAUGUCAAGUAGCCGAGGCAAAUUACCAAGGAAAUAGGAAGAUAUCAAUGAACUUCCUGUUUAAGGGAAGCUAGCUACGUACUCACAGAUCAUGGUUCGAGAACUGCAAAAACCGUGAAGAUCUCGUUCACCUCACCGAUUUUGAACGCCAGUCGCAGGUUUAGAGUCUGCCAUCUCCUUAAUUUUCUGCAAUUAAAACACCAAACAUGAAUAAUGGAAUCAGAUCUAUGUUCAGUAACCCUAAAAUCUAUGAGAAUCAACAAACAAGACCUAAGAGUUUUAUCGAUGAUCGGACAACGAAAACCCUAAACGAUUGGAAAGUAAAACAAAAAUUGAAAAGAGAGGCAUAGAGAACAGAAAUUUACCCUAACUCAAAGACCUACUUGAGCGACAAAGUGAGAAGAAGUGGAAGAAGGCGUCGGCGACGAAGACGACGAAGAAGUUCUGAACUGCUUGAUGUGUGGGAUCGUUUAUAUAGAAACCCAUAGAAAAUAAUUGUAGCCGUUGGAAGGUGAGGCAACGACCUCUUUGUAGGAGAAAAGUAGCCGUUGGAACGGUGAGGCACUGACGCGCUUUCGUUUUACGGUUGAGGCCCCGACGCAUCUUCGUUCGAUGGUGCGGCAGUUACGCGGCGGAUGAUUAAAUGCAGGGACAUCUGGCGCCAGCUGGAGAAAGGUAACCCUGCCAAUUCAUCAUUUUCGCGACAGCUGGAAAUAAAGCCCAAUACAUCGGCGUUUCUGUCAUCGCUUUCUGCUUGUUGACUCUCACUCACU